AGUGAACGCUGGCGGUAGGCCUAACACAUGCAAGUCGAACGGCAGCACAGUAAGAGCUUGCUCUUACGGGUGGCGAGUGGCGGACGGGUGAGGAAUACAUCGGAAUCUACUUUUUCGUGGGGGAUAACGUAGGGAAACUUACGCUAAUACCGCAUACGACCUACGGGUGAAAGCAGGGGAUCUUCGGACCUUGCGCGAUUGAAUGAGCCGAUGUCGGAUUAGCUAGUUGGCGGGGUAAAGGCCCACCAAGGCGACGAUCCGUAGCUGGUCUGAGAGGAUGAUCCGCCACACUGGAACUGAGACACGGUCCAGACUCCUACGGGAGGCAGCAGUGGGGAAUAUUGGACAAUGGGCGCAAGCCUGAUCCAGCCAUACCGCGUGGGUGAAGAAGGACUUCGGGUUGUAAAGCCCUUUUGUUGGGAAAGAAAAGCAGCAGGUUAAUACCCCGCUGUUCUGACGGUACCCAAAGAAUAAGCACCGGCUAACUUCGUG
rnacentral:rRNA from 1 species